rnacentral:rRNA from 1 species
CCUACGGGGGGCAGCAGUUGGGAAUCUUGCACAAUGGGGGAAACCCUGAUGCAGCGACGCCGCGUGGAGGAAGAAGGGUCUAGGCUCGUAAACUCCUUUUUCAGGGAAAGACUUAGGACGGUACCCUGAGACUAAGCUCCGGCUAACUACGUGCCAGCAGCCGCGGUCAGACGUAGGGAGCGAGCGUUGUCCGGAUUUACUGGGCGUAAAGAGCACGUAGGCGGUCUGUUAAGUGAGAAGUGAAAUCUCCAGCGCUCAACGCGGAAACGGCUUUUCAGACUGGCAGACUUGAGGGAUGCAGAGGCAAGUAGAAUUCCUGGUGUACCGGGGAUAUGGGUGGAUAUCAGGAGGAAUACCAAUGGCGAAGGCAGCUUGCUGGGCAUCAGCUGACGCUGAGGUGCGAAAGCGUGGGUAGCAAACAGGAUUAGAUACCCCAGUAGUC